UACGGGGGGGAGCAAGCGUUGUUCGGAUUUACUGGGCGUAAAGGGCGCGUAGGCGGCCUGUGCAAGUCAGUUGUGAAAUCUCCGAGCUUAACUCGGAACGGUCAACUGAUACUGCUCGGCUAGAGUGCGGAAGGGGCAACUGGAAUUCUUGGUGUAGCGGUGAAAUGCGUAGAUAUCAAGAGGAACACCUGCGGCGAAGGCGGGUUGCUGGGCCGACACUGACGCUGAGGCGCGAAAGCUAGGGGAGCAAACGGG
rnacentral:rRNA from 1 species